GACGAACGCUGGCGGCGUGCCUAAUACAUGCAAGUCGAACGCAGUGGGAACGGGUGAGUAACACGUGGGUAACCUCCCACCAGAGGGGAUAACACUUGGAAACAGGUGCUAAACCGAUACUGAUGGAUGAACCCGGGGGGGAUUAGCACGUGGGUGAGGUAACGGCUCACCAAGGCCACGAUGCAUAGGCGACCUGAGGUGAUGAUCGGCCACACUGGCACUGAGACACGGCCCAGACUCCUACGGGAGGCAGCAGUGGGGAAUCUUCGGCAAUGGGCGAAAGUCUGACCGAGCAACGCCGCGUGUAUGAAGAAGGCCUUAGGGUUUUAAAGUACUUUCAGCGGGGAGGCGUUACCCGCAGAAGAAGCACCGGCUAACUCCGUGCCAGCAGCCGCGGUAAUAC
rnacentral:rRNA from 1 species